UACAGAGGGGGCAAGCGUUGUUCGGAAUUACUGGGCGUAAAGGGCGCGUAGGCGGCCUGCUAAGUCGAACGUGAAAUCCCUGGGCUCAACCCAGGAACUGCGUCCGAUACUGGUUGGCUUGAAUCCGGGAGAGGGAUGCGGAAUUCCAGGUGUAGCGGUGAAAUGCGUAGAUAUCUGGAGGAACACCGGUGGCGAAGGCGGCAUCCUGGACCGGUAUUGACGCUGAGGCGCGGAAGCCAGGGGAGCAAACGGG
rnacentral:rRNA from 1 species